AAACAACUAACUCAACCAAAGAAGAGAUCAAUAAGAAGAGAUUAGAUGCUCGGGGAUUUAUAGUAUGAGGAAACAUGUCAUGGAUGGAACAUUGUUCUGUACUUGUAGUAGCUAAAACCCUCCAGAGUAGGUAACAUUACUAGUUAUGAACUCAUACAUCUACACAUGGCUAAUUUUCAUAGUAGAACAUCAAAGUACAAAAUAGAGCAUGUAGCCAUUUAGCAACAGAAAACAAACAUUUACAAUGCAAAUGCACACAACAGCAAAGCAGCAGCAGCUUCACAGGCAUGUGCCUUUUGUUGAAAGCAGCCAUCAAGGUUCAUAAGCACAGGCAAAGCAGCGCUAAACCAUCUUGAGGAAGCAGUACAUGUAGAGGUGUUGUUGAAC
rnacentral:lncRNA from 1 species